GGAGUUGUAGCUCAGUGGUAGAGCGCUUGUCUGACAUGUAUGAAGCACUGGGUUCGAUCCUUAGCACCA
rnacentral:tRNA from 1 species